UGCAAGUCGAACGAUGAACCACUUCGGUGGGGAUUAGUGGCGAACGGGUGAGUAACACGUGGGCAAUCUGCCCUUCACUCUGGGACAAGCCCUGGAAACGGGGUCUAAUACCGGAUACGACCUGCCGAGGCAUCUCGGUGGGUGGAAAGCUCCGGCGGUGAAGGAUGAGCCCGCGGCCUAUCAGCUUGUUGGUGAGGUAACGGCUCACCAAGGCGACGACGGGUAGCCGGCCUGAGAGGGCGACCGGCCACACUGGGACUGAGACACGGCCCAGACUCCUACGGGAGGCAGCAGUGGGGAAUAUUGCACAAUGGGCGAAAGCCUGAUGCAGCGACGCCGCGUGAGGGAUGACGGCCUUCGGGUUGUAAACCUCUUUCAGCAGGGAAGAAGCGAAAGUGACGGUACCUGCAGAAGAAGCGCCGGCUAACUACGUGCCAGCAGCCGCGGUAAUACGUAGGGCGCAAGCGUUGUCCGGAAUUAUUGGGCGUAAAGAGCUCGUAGGCGGCUUGUCACGUCGGUUGUGAAAGCCCGGGGCUUAACCCCGGGUCUGCAGUCGAUACGGGCAGGCUAGAGUUCGGUAGGGGAGAUCGGAAUUCCUGGUGUAGCGGUGAAAUGCGCAGAUUUCAGGAGGAACACCGGUGGCGAAGGCGGAUCUCUGGGCCGAUACUGACGCUGAGGAGCGAAAGCGUGGGGAGCGAA
rnacentral:rRNA from 1 species